AGUGAACGCUGGCGGUAGGCCUAACACAUGCAAGUCGAACGGCAGCACAGUAAGAGCUUGCUCUUACGGGUGGCGAGUGGCGGACGGGUGAGGAAUACAUCGGAAUCUACUUUUUCGUGGGGGAUAACGUAGGGAAACUUACGCUAAUACCGCAUACGACCUACGGGGGAAAGCAGGGGAUCUUCGGACCUUGCGCGAUUGAAUGAGCCGAUGUCGGAUUAGCUAGUGGGCGGGGUAAAGGCCCACCAAGGCGACGAUCCGUAGCUGGUCUGAGAGGAUGAUCAGCCACACUGGAACUGAGACACGGUCCAGACUCCUACGGGAGGCAGCAGUGGGGAAUAUUGGACAAUGGGCGCAAGCCUGAUCCAGCCAUACCGCGUGGGUGAAGAAGGCCUUCGGGUUGUAAAGCCCUUUUGUUGGGAAAGAACAGCAGCAGGUUAAUACCCCGCUGUUCUGACGGUACCCAAAGAAUAAGCACCGGCUAACUUCGUG
rnacentral:rRNA from 1 species